rnacentral:rRNA from 1 species
UGUAGUCAUAUGCUUGUCUCAAAGAUUAAGCCAUGCAUGUCUAAGUAUAAGCAAUUAUACAGUGAAACUGCGAAUGGCUCAUUAAAUCAGUUAUCGUUUAUUUGAUAGUACCUUACUACUUGGAUAACCGUGGUAAUUCUAGAGCUAAUACAUGCUUAAAAUCCCGACUGUUUGGAAGGGAUGUAUUUAUUAGAUAAAAAAUCAAUGCCUUCGGGCUCUUUGAUGAUUCAUAAUAACUUAACGAAUCGCAUGGCCUUGCGCCGGCGAUGGUUCAUUCAAAUUUCUGCCCUAUCAACUUUCGAUGGUAGGAUAGUGGCCUACCAUGGUCUCAACGGGUAACGGGGAAUUAGGGUUCUAUUCCGGAGAGGGAGCCUGAGAAACGGCUACCACAUCCAAGGAAGGCAGCAGGCGCGCAAAUUACCCAAUCCCAAUUCGGGGAGGUAGUGACAAUAAAUACUGAUACAGGGCUCUUUUGGGUCUUGUAAUUGGAAUGAGUACAA